CUCGGCGUAGCGGAUGCGGGCACGCCGCAGUCCGCUACGCACGGGCGCGGUGUCGAGGUCGGCGUCUUCCCAUACGUUCAGACGUUCGGCCAGGC
rnacentral:tRNA from 1 species